rnacentral:rRNA from 1 species
AUGCUGGAGGUAUCAGAAGUGCGAAUGCUGACAUAAGUAACGAUAAAGCGGGUGAAAAGCCCGCUCGCCGGAAGACCAAGGGUUCCUGUCCAACGUUAAUCGGGGCAGGGUGAGUCGACCCCUAAGGCGAGGCCGAAAGGCGUAGUCGAUGGGAAACAGGUUAAUAUUCCUGUACUUGGUGUUACUGCGAAGGGGGGACGGAGAAGGCUAUGUUGGCCGGGCGACGGUUGUCCCGGUUUAAGCGUGUAGGCUGGUUUUCCAGGCAAAUCCGGAAAAUCAAGGCUGAGGCGUGAUGACGAGGCACUACGGUGCUGAAGCAACAAAUGCCCUGCUUCCAGGAAAAGCCUCUAAGCAUCAGGUAACAUCAAAUCGUACCCCAAACCGACACAGGUGGUCAGGUAGAGAAUACCAAGGCGCUUGAGAGAACUCGGGUGAAGGAACUAGGCAAAAUGGUGCCGUAACUUCGGGAGAAGGCACGCUGAUAUGUAGGUGAAGUCCCUCGCGGAUGGAGCUGAAAUCAGUCGAAGAUACCAGCUGGCUGCAACUGUUUAUUAAAAACACAGCACUGUGCAAACACGAAAGUGGACGUAUACGGUGUGACGCCUGCCCGGUGCCGGAAGGUUAAUUGAUGGGGUUAGCGCAAGCGAAGCUCUUGAUCGAAGCCCCGGUAAACGGCGGCCGUAACUAUAACGGUCCUAAGGUAGCGAAAUUCCUUGUCGGGUAAGUUCCGACCUGCACGAAUGGCGUAAUGAUGGCCAGGCUGUCUCCACCCGAGACUCAGUGAAAUUGAACUCGCUGUGAAGAUGCAGUGUACCCGCGGCAAGACGGAAAGACCCCGUGAACCUUUACUAUAGCUUGACACUGAACAUUGAGCCUUGAUGUGUAGGAUAGGUGGGAGGCUUUGAAGUGUGGACGCCAGUCUGCAUGGAGCCGACCUUGAAAUACCACCCUUUAAUGUUUGAUGUUCUAACGUGGACCCGUAAUCCGGGUUGCGGACAGUGUCUGGUGGGUAGUUUGACUGGGGCGGUCUCCUCCUAAAGAGUAACGGAGGAGCACGAAGGUUGGCUAAUCCUGGUCGGACAUCAGGAGGUUAGUGCAAUGGCAUAAGCCAGCUUGACUGCGAGCGUGACGGCGCGAGCAGGUGCGAAAGCAGGUCAUAGUGAUCCGGUGGUUCUGAAUGGAAGGGCCAUCGCUCAACGGAUAAAAGGUACUCCGGGGAUAACAGGCUGAUACCGCCCAAGAGUUCAUAUCGACGGCGGUGUUUGGCACCUCGAUGUCGGCUCAUCACAUCCUGGGGCUGAAGUAGGUCCCAAGGGUAUGGCUGUUCGCCAUUUAAAGUGGUACGCGAGCUGGGUUUAGAACGUCGUGAGACAGUUCGGUCCCUAUCUGCCGUGGGCGCUGGAGAACUGAGGGGGGCUGCUCCUAGUACGAGAGGACCGGAGUGGACGCAUCACUGGUGUUCGGGUUGUCAUGCCAAUGGCACUGCCCGGUAGCUAAAUGCGGAAGAGAUAAGUGCUGAAAGCAUCUAAGCACGAAACUUGCCCCGAGAUGAGUUCUCCCUGACUCCUUGA